rnacentral:rRNA from 1 species
UGGGGAAUAUUGCACAAUGGGCGAAAGCCUGAUGCAGCGACGCCGCGUGAGGGAUGACGGCCUUCGGGUUGUAAACCUCUUUCAGUAGGGACGAAGCGCAAGUGACGGUACCUACAGAAGAAGCACCGGCCAACUACGUGCCAGCAGCCGCGGUAAUACGUAGGGUGCGAGCGUUGUACGGAUUUACUGGGCGUAAAGAGCUCGUAGGCGGUUUGUCACGUCGUCUGUGAAAACCCGAGGCUUAACCUCGGGCCUGCAGGCGAUACGGGCAGACUUGAGUACUGUAGGGGAGACUGGAAUUCCUGGUGUAGCGGUGGAAUGCGCAGAUAUCAGGAGGAACACCGGUGGCGAAGGCGGGUCUCUGGGCAGUAACUGACGCUGAGGAGCGAAAGCGUGGGUAGCGAACAGG